rnacentral:rRNA from 1 species
UGGCUGUCGUCAGCUCGUGUCGUGAGAUGGUUAGGGUUAACGUCCCGUAACGAGCGACCAACCCUUGUCCUUAGUUACCAGCACGUUAUGGUGGGCACUCUAAGGAGACUGCCGGUGACAAACCGGAGGAAGGUGGGGAUGACGUCAAGUCAUCAUGGCCCUUACGGCCUGGGCUACACACGUGCUACAAUGGUCGGUACAAAGGGUUGCCAAGCCGCGAGGUGGAGCUAAUCCCAUAAAACCGAUCGUAGUCCGGAUCGCAGUCUGCAACUCGACUGCGUGAAGUCGGAAUCGCUAGUAAUCGUGAAUCAGAAUGUCACGGUGAAUACGUUCCCGGGCCUU